UGUCGGUGACCUGAUUCCGCACCGCACGCUCCUCCCAGCUCGGUGAGGCUCCCAUGUGAUCCAUUCUUCCCCCUAAAUAAAGUUGACAAAUUCGGCUGGGCUCAGAUGGUGCUGCCGAGGGCGAGCGCGGCGCUCCCACCCUCGCUGCAGCUGCGGCAGCGCCGGCUCGGGGCCGCCGCGGGGCCGGGAUCCUGCCGGAUCCUGCCCGGGAUCCUGCCCGGGAUCCUGCCGGGAACCUGCCCGGGUCCUGCCCGGCAUCCUGCCCUGCCCGGAGCCGGAGGACGCGGCCGGAGCCGGAACCCGAGAGCUGUGGGCACAGAUGAGAUGAGAUCCAGGCCAAGAAAACAAGGAAUCCCAAAGUGGCAGCUGGCUGAGCCCUCCCUGCCCCUUGAUGAAGAAGGCAGCACGUUCCUGGCCCCAGCACUGGGAUAAAGCUGUCCUGUGCUGGACACUGUGUGCCCCAGGCUGCUGAGCCUCCCCAUGCCAGCCAGAGCUGGCUCUGCAUGCUGAGGGCACUCCUGCAUCUGCUUCUCCAGCGUCCUGACAGCUCCCCAGUCCCAAUGAGGCCCAAGCUGAGGGAGGCUCCUGGAGCUGCACUUUUGGCCUCAGCAGAUUACGAGAACUUUGCUGGUGUGAACUCCACCAGGGACACGGAGAGCGAGCAGCUGGAGGGGUCCCUCUCGUCCACCAUCGCCCUCGUCGUCGUGCUGGUCAUCAUCUUCUCCCUGGUGCUCACAUCCCUCAUCACCUACUGCUUCCACAAGUGGAAACUCAGAGGGAAAAGACUGCAGAAAGCACAAGAGGAGUAUCAGAGAGACCAAGAAAAGAGCAGUUGCCAAAGCACACCUGGACUUGUUUCAUAAAGAGGGAAAACCAGGAUCCACCAUGAAGUACUCUUGAAUUACCUGAAAAUUAAAAUCAUGAGAGAACUGCAAAUUUGGAAUUUCCAAGCAAAUACAUUCUUGUUUUAUCUCAUUUCUAAGAGUUGUUAGCAGUUUGGAGAUUUCCUACAGCUUUAUUAUACAUAUAUAUAUUUAUACAUUUAAUCUCAUUUGUGCAGAGUAAAACCAAUGCAAUGAUGUAUUUUUAAUCUUUUCUGUCAUUUUAAUCCUCACUGGACAAACUGACAGUACCUGCGAGGAUGGAUGGGCCUUGGCACAGAUUCCCAGAGCAGCUGUGGCUGCCCCUGGAUCCCUGGAGGUGUCCAAGGCCAGGCUGGAGCAGCCUGGCACAGUGGGAGCUGUCCCAGCCAUGGCAGGGCUGGAAUGGGAUGAGUUUUUAGCUCCAUUCCAACCCUAACCACACUUUUCUGUGUAUUGCUGAACCAGAAAUUUCCAAUCUGUGGCUUUCACUCUUUCACAAACCCCCUGGAAGGUGACGAGGCAGAUUUGGGGUAUCCGAAUACCCCAAAGUGGUAUUUGGAGAAUGGUUUUACCUGCAGGAGGGCUGCUUUAGGCCAGCUACAAGAAGGUUUUUGCACUGAGGGUGGGCAGUAGAAUUCCCAGAGAAGCUGUGGCUGCCCCUGGAUCCCUGGCAGUGCCCAGGGCCAGGCUGGAUCACCCUGGGACAGUGGGAGGUGUCCCUGCCAUGGCAGGGGGGUUAGGUGGCCUUUGGAAGGUCUCCUCCAACUCCAGCUCCUCAAUGAUCCUACACUGGACCUCUGGGAGCACAGAGGAUUUGCUCAGUAGCUGGAAAUCCAGAUUCAGAUAUCCCAAAGCAGCUUGGCUGCCCCAGCCCAGGGAGCUGUGCUGCUCUGGGGCAGUGGGUGGUGGAGGCAGUGGGUCCCAGCUGGUGCUGCCAGGCUGCUCCUCAGGAGCUGCUCCUGGGCCCACUGUGACAUUUCAGUGCUUCCUCCACGUCAGGGUUGGGCUGAGAGCUGCUCCUGGCAUUCCCACAAGUGGAUUAAGGACAUCCAGUGUAAAUGGAACUCAAAAUCCUAAGGGAAGAGAGAGCCUAAACCCCUUUUUUAAUUAGGCAUCAAAUCCUUUUUAAACCACCCAUACCACGGAGUGUUUCUAUUUCCAUAGCCUGUCCUGUGAUGUCACAGAGAAAUGACAGAUUUCUUGUGAGUAGCACAUCUAAGUAAUCUUUUCUAACCAAGUGAUGGAUGUAAUAUUAAUAAAUGUCAUUGUUUUAUAAAGUAGAAACCAUGUGAAGUUGCCACCAGCCCCCUGCUCAAAUCUACAGCUUGCUUGCAAUUACCAGUACUGCUGUAUGUAUUUUUAAACAAGCUAUAAUACUGUGAUGAUGCUGUAAACUUACCUCUGUAGGAAAAAAAAUGUUCUAUUUCAAAAUGUCAGGAUGAAGGAUGUAAAUGUUCUGAAAGUGCUAUCAACAACAACAACAAAAAAAGAAUUUCCACAGAAUAUUCUAAAGGAUUCUGUUACAUGCUACAAAUCUAUUUUACAAGGGUAUUUAUGGAUCAUACAGCCUAGUCUGUGAGAACAGUACUAUUUUAUUACAGAAUAAAUAAAUGAAUAAAUAAGCAGUGACUAUCCAUGCCCAGAA